CCUACGGGAGGCAGCAGUAAGGAAUAUUGGUCAAUGGACGGAAGUCUGAACCAGCCAUGCCGCGUGAAGGAAGAAGGCGCUCUGCGUUGUAAACUUCUUUUAUAUGGGAAGAAGAGGCUUGAUUGAUCAAGUUGUGACGGUACCAUAGGAAUAAGCACCGGCUAACUCCGUGCCAGCAGCCGCGGUAAUACGGAGGGUGCAAGCGUUAUCCGGAAUCACUGGGUUUAAAGGGUGCGUAGGCGGUUUGAUAAGUCAGAGGUGAAAGGUUGUCGCUUAACGAUAAGACUGCCUUUGAUACUGUUGGACUUGAAUUGGGAUAAGGUAAGCGGAAUGUGGCAUGUAGCGGUGAAAUGCAUAGAUAUGCCAUAGAACACCAAUUGCGAAGGCAGCUUACUGGGCCUUGAUUGACGCUGAGGCACGAAAGCGUGGGGAUCAAACAGGAUUAGAUACCCUGGUAGUCCACGCCCUAAACGAUGCUUACUCGUUGUAUGGGAGUAAUUUCAUGUGACUAAGCGAAAGCGAUAAGUAAGCCACCUGGGAAGUACGCCGGCAACGGUGAAACUCAAAGGAAUUGACGG
rnacentral:rRNA from 1 species